rnacentral:lncRNA from 1 species
UUCUUUUCUUCCCUCAUCGCUUCCUUUCUUCUUUUGUUCUGCCAUCCUCUGCUUCUUUGUCUUAUCUUAUCAUAGAUAACAGAGAAUCAGAGGAACUUGAAGGAUCUUGGGAAGUGGCCUUUGUUCUCUACAUGACGGGUGCAUUGCUUGGUUGCUAAGAUCCUUCUGAGGAUCUAUUACGGGCCUUCUAGAAGAAGCAAAAAAGGGAAAAGUCACUAUUAAAGGAGAAAAAGAUAUUAGCCAGG